GAUGAAGAACGUAGCGAAAUGCGAUAAGUAAUGUGAAUUGCAGAAUUCAGUGAAUCAUCGAAUCUUUGAACGCAUCUUGCGCUCCUUGGUAUUCCUUGGAGCAUGCCUGUUUGAGUAUCAUGAGCAAAUCUCAAAGUCAAUUCCUUUUGUUGAUUCAAUUGGUUUUGCUUUGGACUUGGAGGCCUUGCAGAUUUCACAGUCUGCUCCUCUUAAAUGCAUUAGCUGGAUCUCAGUAAUUAUGCUUGGUUCCACUCGGCGUGAUAAGUAUCACUCGCUGAGGACACUGUUAAAAAGGUGGCCAGGAAAAUACUGAUUGAACCGCUUCUAACGGUCUAUUAAGUUAGACAAUUUCCCUUAAGUUUGAUCUCAAAUCAGGUAGGACUACCCGCUGAACUUAAGCAUAUCAAUAAGCGGAGGA
rnacentral:misc_RNA from 1 species